rnacentral:rRNA from 11 species
UCUGCCAUGCACAAUUCUCUAAAUGCACAAGAUCCCAGCUGGUCUUGGAAGCUAAUCAGGGUCAGCUCCAGUUGAUACCUGGAUGGAAUUCCAUCAAUGAAUACUAGGGUUAUGGACUAU